CCCGCCGUCCCUGCUCUCCCCGCAGGGCCCUCCAGACCACAAAGCCAGGAACGGGUGGGCGGGGGCAGGAGCCCAGGGUGGAAGGGUGGACGUGGGGGGACAGGGGAGUGGGCAAUGGGCCCCAGCCCUGGGGAGCAGGGAAGGGGACAGCGGGGGUCAAGUCGGGGCCACUGGAGGACCGCAGAGUCUGCAGCGAGGGGCCGGGGAGGCCGCUGGGCCCGGAGCGAGGCAUCAGCGAGGCCCGUGAGGUCUGCGGUGGGGGCGCCAGCGGGAGCGCGAGGCGGCCAGGCCCGAGUUUGGGGGAAGGGGGACAGCGUGCAGAGGACCGGAGCGAGGAGGCGGCGUCGGAAGUUCUUGCGGCUUCUCUCUCAACUCGGACAGAAGCCCUGCAGGCGAAGCGUCCCCCGAUGGGAUCCAGAGCUGCCCCCGCAGGAGCAGUAAGGACUGCCCUGAGCCAGCAGGACCCUGAUGGGCUGGACGUGACUGCCCACCGCACGACCCACGGGCCUGCCUCCCGCGGUCUCCUUUUAGAAACCUGGCAGUAUUUUCCCCGUUUGGGAGACAGUCUGGAGACGUGAGUCGGCGGUCUCCCCAGUGUCGGCCUCCCUGAAAUAAAUGUUUUACCA